rnacentral:rRNA from 1 species
UACGGGGGGGGCAAGCGUUGUUCGGAAUUACUGGGCGUAAAGCGUGCGUAGGUGGUUCGUUAAGUCUGAUGUGAAAGCCCUGGGCUCAACCUGGGAAUGGCAUUGGAAACUGGCGACCUAGAGUGCGGUAGAGGGUAGUGGAAUUCCCGGUGUAGCAGUGAAAUGCGUAGAUAUCGGGAGGAACAUCCGUGGCGAAGGCGGCCACCUGGACCAACAUUGACGCUGAGGCACGAAAGCGUGGGGAGCAAACAGG